CAAAAGCAGCGAGGAGCUACCACGCGGCGGGAAUUCGAAAGAAUGGAAGACAGAAUGUUUUUGUUUUGAGAUAUUUGGUUACUUUUCAUCAACUCCAUUUCACACCACACUAUUUCUCUUCUUCUCUUUCUUUCCAUUUACUGAUUUCUUCCAUUGAUGAAAAUCCAACACCCACCUUUUUCUGGUUUUGUGUUCAUGUAUUGAUGUGGUGGGCUGGAUUUCACAGUUGAAAAGGUAGAAGACUGAAAAUCCUUUGUUCAUGGUGCAGCAGUUCAAAGUAUUGCAGCUGGCAACUUCGACCUAAAGUUCUUUUUUUGGAGUAGAUCUUAGAAUAUGUAAGUUGAAGGUUUCUGAGAACGAGCUGACAGUUAAUCUAUAACAAAGAAUUAAGAGAGAGAUUGUUGGGAAAUAAAAUUUGAGCUAGCGAGAAGAGAUGAAAGGGAGAGAGGAGAGAGAAGGGGAUAAAGGUCUGGUGUGGAAGCUUCCGGUGGUGAAGUCAAGGCACCUGGGUAAGGUUGGUCCUGCCUUCGGCCUUGGUGCUGGCUGCGGCAUUGGCUUUGGCAUCGGUCUCCUCGGUGCUGCAGGUUUUGGUCCGGGAAUUCCAGGCUUACAACUUGGUUUUGGAAUUGGUGUUGGAUGUGGAGUUGGUAUUGGAUUUGGCUAUGGUUUUGGAAGUGGCAUAGCACAGGAUGAGGAUCGGAGAUACUCGAGUGUUGGGAAUCUUUACAGUGGUUCUAGAAAUAUUCCUACGCAGGAUGAGAUUGGUGCACUUGUAGAUGAUCUUGUCAUUAGUACAAAGAGGCUUGUAAAGGCUACUUCAAAAGAAAUAGAAAAAUGGAGAAGGUGAAUUUGUUGGCUGCCCUUUUUUGUGGGUAACAUUAAUAAAAGGAUUAACACAAAUGGGGUCACAAUUAUCUUGGUAAGUUUGUGUUGCAAGAUGCUUUUUGUGAUGGGCUUAGGAUCUUAAUAUGUAUAUGAACGGUUUCUCUUGUGUCUUUCAAAAAAUAAAUAAAAAAUUCUGUCUUCUGUUGAAAAAUUAUUCUUGUUGCUAUUCCAAAAUACUGAUGUUACAAUAAGCAUUAGAUAGACUUGCAUCCUUUGCUGAGUGAGGACCAAGUUUCACUUAACAACAAAACAGGGUCAUUCUGGGAAUUUGGGAUAGAGACCUUUAAAACAAAAUAAGAUUAAAAGGGGCAUUCCGAGAAUCGAACUCGGGACCUCUCGCACCCAAAGCGAGAAUCAUACCACUA